rnacentral:misc_RNA from 1 species
GAUGAAGAACGUAGCGAAAUGCGAUACGUAAUGUGAAUUGCAGAAUUCAGUGAAUCAUCGAAUCUUUGAACGCAUAUUGCGCUCUCUGGUAUUCCGGAGAGCAUGCUUGUUUGAGUAUCAGUAAACACCUCAACUCCCUUUUCUUUUUUGAAAUUGGAGCUGGACUUGAGUGAUCCCAACGCUUUCUUCCAAGAAAGUGGCGGGUUGCUUGAAAUGCAGGUGCAGCUGAACUUUUCUCUGAGCUAUGAGCAUAUCUAUUUAGUCUGCCUAAAAAACAGAUUAUUACCUUUGCUGCAGCUAACAUAAAGGAGACUAGUUCUUGUGCUGACUGAUGCAGGAUUCACAGAGACAGCUUCGGCUGACUUUGUAAACUCGAUCUCAAAUCAAGUAAGACUACCCGCUGAACUUAAGCAUAUCAAUAAGCGGAGGA